rnacentral:rRNA from 1 species
UACGAAGGGGCUAGCGUUGUUCGGAAUUACUGGGCGUAAAGCGCACGUAGGCGGAUUGUUAAGUUAGGGGUGAAAUCCCGGGGCUCAACCCCGGAACUGCCUUUAAUACUGGCAAUCUCGAGUCCGAGAGAGGUGAGUGGAAUUCCGAGUGUAGAGGUGAAAUUCGUAGAUAUUCGGAGGAACACCAGUGGCGAAGGCGGCUCACUGGCUCGGU